UACGUAGGGUGCAAGCGUUAAUCGGAAUUACUGGGCGUAAAGCGUGCGCAGGCGGUUUUGUAAGCCAGAUGUGAAAUCCCCGGGCUUAACCUGGGAAUGGCAUUUGGGACUGCAAGGCUUGAGUGCGGCAGAGGAGACUGGAAUUCCGCGUGUAGCAGUGAAAUGCGUAGAUAUGCGGAGGAACACCGAUGGCGAAGGCAAUCCCCUGGGCCUGCACUGACGCUCAUGCACGAAAGCGUGGGGAGCAAACAGG
rnacentral:rRNA from 1 species